AUUAUUAUGCAUACAGUGUUUUGGCUGCAUGUACACCUACAGAGAAGAUUAGCAUGGCCCCUGAGCAAGGAUGACAUGCAAAUUCAUGAAGCAAAUACUUUACAA